ACUACAUAAAAUAUCAUCAACCAAAUACAUAUGAUCUUAUCAAAAUCAAAACUCAAAAGUUAAAUAGUAAUAAAAGCAUAUCUAAAUAUUAAAUCCCAACAUCAUGGUUUAUCAAUCAUCAAAACCUUAAAAAUCAGCUAGUGUUGACCGUGAAGUACGCAGACACCAGAAACAACCAUCAUUCAGGUUCAACAAGUCACAAACUUGUAGACGGUCAAAGAUUGCAUGACCUCCAGCUCCAGCAAUUUAUAAACUCAAAAAUUGAUGGUAAAGGAGUCAGGGCAGGCUGCUGCCCACAUCUUUCUAAAACCACCAGUGCCCAUAGCCCCAUACCCUAGUUCUAGUUGUGGCUCAUUUUAGCA
rnacentral:lncRNA from 1 species